rnacentral:rRNA from 1 species
GCUACGGGUGGCAGCAGUAGGGAAUGUUGCGCAAUGGGCGAAAGCCUGACGCAGCAACGCCGCGUGAGCGAGACGAACGUCGGGGUGUAAAGAGCUGUAAGGGGGGACGAAACGUGACGGUACCCACAGAGGAAGCACCGGCUAACGCCGUGCCAGCAGCCGCGGUAAGACGGGGGGGGCAAGCGUGGUCCGGAAUCAUUGGGCGUAAAGAGUUCGUAGGCGGGACGGAAAGUCUGGUGUUAAAGGCCGAGGCUCUACUUCUGUACGGCACUGGAUACUUGCGAGCUAGACGGCGGGAGCGGUAACGGGACUUCCUGGUGUAGCGGUGCACUGCUUCGAUAUCAGGCGG